GACGAACGCUGGCGGCGUGCUUAACACAUGCAAGUCGAACGGAAAGGCCCUGCUUUUGUGGGGUGCUCGAGUGGCGAACGGGUGAGUAACACGUGAGUAACCUGUCCCUGACUUUGGGAUAACUUCAGGAAACUGGGGCUCUUACCGGAUAUGAGCUCUUGCUGCAUGGUGGGGGUUGGAAAGUUUCGGCGGUUGGGGAUGGACUCGCGGCUUAUCAGCUUGUUGGUGGGGUAGUGGCUUACCAAGGCUUUGACGGGUAGCCGGCCUGAGAGGGUGACCGGCCACAUUGGGACUGAGAGACGGACCAGACUCGAACGGGAGGCAACGGUGGAGAGUAUUACACAGUAGGCGGGAGCCAGAUGUGACAACGCCGCGUGCGGGAAGACGGGCUUCGGGUUGUAAACCGCUUUCGCCUGUGACGAGGCGUGAGUGACGGUACUGGGUAAAGAAGCACCGGCUAACUACGUG
rnacentral:rRNA from 1 species